CUUUUGUCAUACAGGGCAUCCCUGGUGCUACUGGACCCAUAGGCCCUUCUGGCCCCCCUGGACUUCCUGGCCCAGCUGGUCCCAAAGGUGCCAAGGGAGCCAUGGGCCAAGCAGGACCC